UAGGGAAUCUUCCGCAAUGGGCGAAAGCCUGACGGAGCAACGCCGCGUGAGUGAUGAAGGUCUUCGGAUCGUAAAACUCUGUUAUUAGGGAAGAACAAAUGUGUAAGUAACUAUGCACGUCUUGACGGUACCUAAUCAGAAAGCCACGGCUAACUACGUGCCAGCAGCCGCGGUAAUACGUAGGUGGCAAGCGUUAUCCGGAAUUAUUGGGCGUAAAGCGCGCGUAGGCGGUUUUUUAAGUCUGAUGUGAAAGCCCACGGCUCAACCGUGGAGGGUCAUUGGAAACUGGAAAACUUGAGUGCAGAAGAUGAAAGUGGAAUUCCAUGUGUAGCGGUGAAAUGCGCAGAGAUAUGGAGGAACACCAGUGGCGAAGGCGACUUUCUGGUCUGUAACUGACGCUGAUGUGCGAAAGCGUGGGGAUCAAACAGG
rnacentral:rRNA from 1 species